ACGGUUUCUCUGUAGACCAGGAUAUUUUUUAUUUUUUGAGACAAAGUUUUUCUAUGUGGUCCUGGCCUAGAGCUCCUUAUGUAAACCAGGGUGGUCUCAAACUCAUAAAAACCUGCCUACUUCUACCUCCCAAGUGUUAGGAUUAAAAGCCUGCAUCACCGUGCCCAGCCAGCUUACUCUUUUGAGUAUAGGAAAUUUAUCCUGGACACACCAAGGUGUAGACUCUUAUUGCCUCAUAUAAAUUCUGUCAGUUCUCAUUGUAAAUGGAUUUCUAUAUUAAGGUACAAUCUUUUCAUCUUUACCUCCAGGUCUUUGACCAGGAAUUGGAUGCACUGGAAAUUGAGACAGUACAAAAGGAGACAAUCCAUCCCCGAAAAUCCUAUAAGAUGAAUUCUUCCUGUGCUGACAUACUACUCUUUGCUUCCUAUAAGUGGAAUGUCUCCCGGCCCUCACUGCUGGCAGACUCCAAGGAUGUGAUGGACAGCACAACUACACAGAAGUAUUGGAUUGACAUCCAGUUACGAUGGGGAGACUAUGAUUCCCAUGAUAUCGAGCGCUAUGCCCGGGCCAAGUUCCUGGAUUAUACCACAGACAACAUGAGUAUCUACCCUUCUCCCACAGGUGUGCUCAUUGCCAUUGACCUGGCCUAUAAUCUACACAGGUGAGUUAGGACUCAUGGGCUUUCCAUUACUUUUCUAUGUUUUGUUUCAUUUAUUGAAGUGCAGUCUCGCUAUAUGUAUAGCCUUGGCUGGCCUGGAACUUACUGUAAACCAUGCUCACAGAGGCUGUCUACACAUUAG
rnacentral:lncRNA from 1 species